AUUGAACGCUGGCGGCAGGCCUAACACAUGCAAGUCGAGCGGUAGCACAGAGAGCUUGCUCUCGGGUGACGAGCGGCGGACGGGUGAGUAAUGUCUGGGAAACUGCCUGAUGGAGGGGGAUAACUACUGGAAACGGUAGCUAAUACCGCAUAACGUCGCAAGACCAAAGAGGGGGACCUUCGGGCCUCUUGCCAUCAGAUGUGCCCAGAUGGGAUUAGCUAGUAGGUGGGGGAAUGGCUCACCUAGGCGACGAUCCCUAGCUGGUCUGAGAGGAAGACCAGCCACAAUGGAACUGAGACACGGUCCAGACUACUACGGGAGGCAGCAGUGGGGAAUAUUGCACAAUGGGCGAAAGCCUGAUGCAGCCAUGCCGCGUGUGUGAAGAAGGCCUUCGGGUUGUAAAGCACUUUCAGCGAGGAGGAAGGCAUUAAGGUUAAUAACCUUAGUGAUUGACGUUACUCGCAGAAGAAGCACCGGCUAACUCCGUGCCAGCCGCCGCGGUAA
rnacentral:rRNA from 1 species